ensembl:snRNA RNU6-985P RNA, U6 small nuclear 985, pseudogene
GUGCUUACUUUGGCAACACAUAUACUAAAAUUGGAAUGAUACGGAGAUUAGCAUUGUCCCUGGUCAAGGAUGACACACAAAUUCAUGGAGCAUUAUAUAUAUAU